rnacentral:sRNA from 1 species
AGCCCUCCUCAAAGACCCCUGUGAGGCCACGCAGAAAUGGCUUGGCAGGGGACCCAGUGAGCCCAGAGGGAUUUUGCCGCUGCUUCCUCUACCCCUGUAUUUCACUCAGCUCUCUAAAUUGACUCAGCUGUAGAACCAUAAUUAUCAUGUUAUCUAUACCCGAUACAUUGUAGAUGAAGAAACAUGUCGACAGAGCCACUAUCUGCCCAACAUCUCAUGGGUAGUCAUAGUCACAGUAGAACUGAGACUAAGGUUUCCAUUUUUAUUUGACUUUGCUGCUUCCCAAGGCUAGUGUGAGAAACACCAACGUCAGGCCCAUCUCAGAUCUUCACUAUGGCAACUCAUGCAAGAAACUGUUGAAUUAGACCCGUUUCCUAUAGAUGAGAAACCAUACAAGCUGUGGUAUUUAUGAGCCUCCAUUUCUUAUACUACUGCAGUGAACCAACAUUGGAUGUGAAAAUUGCCUUUUGUCAGGUGUGUGUUCCUUACAGGGAUUCGAUAAACAAGUGGAUGUGUCAUAUAUUGCCAAACAUUACAACAUGAGCAAAAGCAAAGUUGACAACCAGUUCUACAGUGUGGAAGUGGGAGACUCAACCUUCACAGUUCUCAAGCGCUACCAGAAUCUAAAGCCUAUUGGCUCUGGGGCUCAGGGCAUAGUUUG